rnacentral:rRNA from 1 species
AGCAGCCGCGGUAAUUCCAGCUCCAAUAGCGUAUAUUAAAGUUGCUGCAGUUAAAAAGCUCGUAGUUGAAUUUCGGGGUCAAUAUGUUGGUCGUGCCUUGGUACGUACUAGCUUAUUGAUUUCUCCUUUCUGACGAACCAUGAUGUCAUUAAUUUGGUGUCAUGGGGAAUCAGGACUGUUACUUUGAAAAAUUAGAGUGUUUAAAGCAGGCUCGCGCUUGAAUACAUUAGCAUGGAAUAAUGAAAUAGGACAUCUGAUUCUAUUUUGUGGUUUCUAGGAUCGAUGUAAUGAUUAAUAGGGAUAGUUGGGGGGCAUUAGUAUUCAAUUGUCAGAGGUGAAAUUCUUGGAUUUAUUGAAGACUAACUACUGCGAAAGCAUUUGCCAAGGAUGUUUUCAUUAAUCAAAAGCGAAAGUUAGGGGAUCGAAGACGAUCAGAUACCGUCGUAGUCUUAACCAUAAACUAUGCCGACUAGGGAUCGGAUGAUGUUAAUUUUUUAAUGGACUCAUUCGGCGCCUUACG